rnacentral:rRNA from 1 species
GCUUGUCUCAAAGAUUAAGCCAUGCAUGUCUAAGUAUAAACGACUUUAUACUGUGAAACUGCGAAUGGCUCAUUAUAUCAGUUAUAGUUUAUUUGAUGGUCCUUGCUACUUGGAUAACCGUAGUAAUUCUAGAGCUAAUACAUGCAUCAAACCCCGACUUCUGGAAGGGGUGUAUUUAUUAGAUGGAAACCAAUGCAGGGCAACCUGGAAUAUGGUGAUUCAUAAUAACUUUUCGAACCUCAUGCCUUUAUGGUGGAGGUGAUUCAUUCAAAUUUCUGCCCUAUCAGCUUUUGAUGGUAGGGUAUUGGCCUACCAUGGCGUUAACGGGUA